rnacentral:rRNA from 1 species
UACGAAAGGUGCAAGCGUUGUUCGGAAUGACUGGGCGUAAAGCGCACGUAGGCGGAUUUGCAAGUAGGAUGUGAAAUCCCCAGGCUUAACCUGGGAAUGGCAUUCUAAACUACAAAUCUUGAAUGCUUGAGAGGUUGGUGGAAUGCCUGGUGUAGGAGUGAAAUCCGUAGAUAUCAGGUGGAAUAUCGGAGGCGAAGGCGACUUACUGGACACAUAUUGACGCUGAGGUGCGAAAGCGUGGGGAGCAAACAGG